CCAGAGUUCAGAGCAAGUAUAUCAUUUCACAAGUUGAUUCAUUUUUUCAGUGCAAAAAGAGAAAUGAACGCAAAAAAUUGGUUUUUCAUCUGUGCGUUAUUAUUUAUAGCGAUAAUAAAUAUAGCGAACACAAAUGAAGUUACCCAAAAUUAUGGAUAUAUCACGUCAGCCUUCCAACCACAGAGCUUCGGCCAAAAAUGCAAACCGCCAGCAGUACAUUGGAAUGGGAAAUAAAUGAUCGCAAAGAGUUGGAUUUUCAUCUGUAUGAUAUUAUUUAUAGCGAUGAUAAAUAGAGUGUUCUCAAACGAAAGUCCCGAAUUUGGAGUCAGUGCAAUAUUUUCAGGAUCAACGAGCAACUCACAAAAAUGCAAACCGCCAUCAGUUUAUUGGAACGGAAAGUGUAUAAAACGAUUCGGUUAAUCGGGUGAUUAAAUAAAACAUCCAACUUAUUCGAUAAUUUUGAGUAAACAAUUCAAUUACCAUUGCUUUUAAAUAGAUGUAGACAUCAAAAAUGACUCAAGAACGAAUGUGAUACUUCUUCCAAAAUGAAAAUUGUGAAGUUUCGACAGAAGUCAUUCAAGAAGGGAAUAGAUUGUGGAUACAGCUAGAGCAGUGCUAUUUCCGCAGCUCCUAUUCAUAGGCGCAAUUUGUGAUUUUAUGAUACAAUUCCGAACGAAAUGUUUGGAAUGCAGGACAAUAUAUUGUUUUUUUAUAUAAACAAAAUGCUAAAAUCAAUAAGUAUAUUCUUCUACAUUUUGAACAUUUCGUUCAGAAUUGUAUCAUAAAGCCGCUGUCAUAUGCGUUGAUCACAAACGCCCAUGAAUAAGAGCUGAGAAAAUAGCACUGCAAUAGCUGUAACCACAAUCUAAUCACUCAAACAUUCAUUCUCAGAUAAUCAUUUUUUCAUUUAUAAAAAAAAGUAUAAUUAUACGUAUGGCUUAAGCCAUAACUGUUUUAAAUAAAACUGAUCUCCAACAUCCUGUGUUUUACAUUUCUUAUCGCUUCUUUCUUUUCAACGAAUAAGGCAAAUUAAGUGUAGUGGGUGCAAUAAAAAAAACUAUUCAAAAUCACAGACUUGUACUUCCUUUUUUUACAGAUGUUUUUAUGCAAAACAUGCGAAUGUCACGUUAUCAGUUUAAUGAAACGAAUGAUUGUGUUUCAGCAAUGUAUUUUCUACCGACUGAUAUUGGAUUCGGAUUGUGUUUGAGUUUCGUUUUUCGUCGUAAACAUCAUUGUACAGUGGCGAUCAGUUCGAUUUUGAAGCUUGAAAGAAACACAGUACCUUAAAAUCAAUCAGUCAAUUUCUAUUUGAGAAAUAAAAGUGUUUUCUAUUUAAUCCUGAAAUGGAAGAAAAAACGUUGAUUUUCAUCAGUCUGUUAUUGAUAGUGUCAGCGGUGAUGAACACAGCUACGCCUUUUGGAAGACCCCAAUAUAUACAAUGUAAUCCACCGGAAAUAUAUCUAAAUGGAGAGUGCCAAUAUGUAAUGGGUGAUAGCCCAAUUAGUUCAAAUAUGGUGGAGUCUCGAAUAGCUCUAGGUCCUACCUUCAUCUCACAGAGAUGUAUACCACCACUAAGAUAUAUACCACGACUUGGAAAAUGCAAAUAAAUUAAUGAAAUAGAGAAAAAAAACAUACAAUUCUUGCGAGCUUACCUCCAUUAAAUACACUUUUAGAUACAACAUUUGUAUAAAUGACUCAAAUGUAACGCAACAUGUUGCAUGUUUCUUUUGUAUUAUAAACAUAACAAUUCGAUUUUGAUGAACUCGAAUACUAUUUAAUUAAGUAAUUUUAUCAAAAUCUCGUAGCAAACAAUACAUUUAAGUUUUUAGUGAAAAGAAUUCGACGGGGUCAAUAUAAUAUUAUAUUUAUAACGAAGACAAUGACAAUUAUUUUGAACGAUAAGCGAUAAGUGACUUUGUCUGAAUUGGCGAACCAUGUGAAAAGGGAAGAUAGUAAAAUAAUCAUGGCGUUAAAAUCAAAAUGAAAUGAAAUAAGCGUUAAUUACUACUUGAAUUCUGUGAAAAGGUCUUUGUAAAAAUAAAUAGUUUUUAUACAAA